UUGAUUCGUCGCGCGUGAUUUCAAAAGAAGAAGAAGAAAGAACAAUAGCAUUUGCAAUGCAUCCACGCUACAGUCCAGCGCCGCCGCCGCAUCAGCAGCAGCAGCAGCAACAGCAACAGCCAAUGGGCGGGCCCCAUCAGCAGCAGUCGGCAGGGGGUGGACCCGGACAUGGCGGUGGUGCAUCUGGCCACAUGAGGGCGCCACCAAAUUCACAGCAAUUACCGCCGCAGAUGCCGCGAUCACAGAAUUAUGCAAAUGGCUCGUCCAGUGCCGCUAGCGUCGCAGCCGCACCGCCAACGCCGCGAAGCGCUUUUCCCGGCGCACCGUUGACCGCCUCAGCCGUAGCACUCAAAGGCGCCAUCCCACAGCGUCCACCGGCCAUGACCAGCCCAGCUGCUGCUGCUGCUGGCGCCGCUCUAGCAGCGGGCGCCCCUUAUCGCGGUGCAACCAGCUGGACACCGCAGGGCUAUGCACCCGCUGCUGCCGCUGCCGCCGCUGCGGUCGCCCAGCAGGCCUAUCGCUAUACGGCGCCAUUGCCCCAACCGGCAUAUGCCGCCUAUACGCCGCACACGGCCACCACGCAGGCCACAACCACGGCAUACCAGUGGGUUAAUCAGCUCAGCACUUUGGAGUACGGCCAGCGUGUUCCGACUGCAGCCUCACCGAGCAACACGAACUCGAGCAGCUCAUCGAACACGGGCUCCCAGAGCGGCACACUGAGCACCAGUCUGAGCAACACGACAAACACAAACACCACAAUGGGUCCCAACGGCACGGCACAGAAUCAAAAUCAACAGGGCGGCGAGCAGUUGUCAAAGACAAAUCUCUAUAUACGCGGACUGCAGCAAGGCACAACCGAUAAGGAUCUGAUCAAUAUGUGUGCACAAUACGGAACAAUAAUAUCAACCAAGGCUAUUUUAGAUAAAACAACAAACAAAUGUAAAGGUUACGGCUUCGUCGACUUCGAGCAGCCAGCCUACGCUGAGGGCGCCGUCAAGGGACUGCAGGCGAAGGGCGUGCAAGCUCAGAUGGCCAAAGUGGGUAUCUGGGUGCUUCAUAGGCCGGCCAUUCAACAGGAACAGGAUCCCACAAAUUUGUAUAUUGCAAAUUUGCCGCCACACUUCAAAGAAACCGAUCUGGAGGCAAUGCUAGCGAAAUAUGGUCAAGUUGUCUCCACCAGAAUAUUGCGUGAUCAGCAAAUGAACUCAAAGGGCGUUGGCUUUGCACGCAUGGAGAGCCGCGAGAAAUGCGAACAAAUUAUACAAAUGUUCAACGGUAACACAAUACCGGGUGCCAAAGAUCCGCUAUUGGUGAAAUUCGCCGAUGGCGGUCCCAAAAAGAAGAAUCUCUUCAAGACGCCCGAUCCGAAUGCGCGUGCGUGGCGCGAUGUCUCCGCCGAGGGCAUACCCGUUGCCUACGAUCCGACCAUGCAACAGAAUGGUGUCAGCGUCAAUGUUGGCACACCCAUCGGUGUGCCCUAUUCCCGUUUCGGGGCACCACAGGUUGGUGGCUAUCCGGUCGCUGGCUCGCAAUGGAUACCCGGCUAUAUGAUGACACAGCCGAUCACUCAGGUAGAUGAUCAGUAUUCCUCCUCUGCCCUGCAGUACAUGCAAAUGGCUGCCGCUCCCCAGUUGGGCGUCACCUCGUACAAACCGGAGGCUGUUAAUCAGGUGCAACCACGCGGCAUAUCGAUGAUGGUCAGUGGUGACACGGCUGUGCCAUAUGGAACUAUGAUGCCACAGUUGGCCACCCUGCAGAUUGGCAACUCUAAUUUUUCUCCAUCGUUACAGUAUAUUAGUCCAACUUAUCCAUAUUAUGCACCACCACCAACUAUUAUACCAACAAUGCCAAUGACAGAUUCCGAACAGGCUAGCACAGCUGCAUCACCCGACGAGGCAUACACACAGUAUCCACAUCAAGCCGCUCCCAAAUAGGUCUUCGCGAGUAUAGUUACUAAGCAGCCUAAACACUGGUAACACAUUCUAGAUAUAAUAUUUUAGUACCCCGUUUGAGUACUAUUUAAUGGACGUGAUGGAGGGUUAGCGUUGGGAGCAUUACGCGCUGGAAUAACAAUAAUAAAAACAACAACAUCUACAACAAAAACAAAAGAACUGGCUUGAAGAAAACAGCAACAAGAAGAAGCAGAAGAAGAAGCUGAAGAGGAGGAGAAGGAGAAGGAGAAGGCCACAUCAGACCAGAAACAGUUUGAUAACAGUCGAAAAUGCUGUUCCCUAAAAAAAUAAUGUUUAAAAAAAUAAAGAAAAGCUAGAGAAAGAGAAUUAAGAGUUAUGUAUAAAAGAGAAAGCAGCAGAAGCAGCAACAAAGGAAAGAAAAAUACAUACAUAGAUAAAGUGUAAGAGCGAGCGAAACGGAGUUAAGAUGAGAGCGUAAAAAAGUGAAGAAAAGCAAAGACUAAACUUAAAUAAUAGUUAUUAGUUAUACACUAAAAAAACAAACAUGCUUAAACAACAGCAAAAGUGAACGAGAAAGUAGUAGUAGAAAGGGGUCGAAGAUUUCAUUGAAAGCAGGAAAAACUUACCAGAAGGGGGCAACAUUUUCUUAGAAGAGGAGUUAAAAGAAAA